AAAAACUUUGCCAUAAAAACCUCAAUGCUUAGCACGAUUCCGCCAACGAUCACUCUUCUUUCUUUAUCCCUUGCUCUGAAAGGAGAACAAGGAGAGUAAAAGGCGAGGGUUUCUUUUGCUUGCUUUCUUCACUCAGAUCCGAAUUUAGCAAGUCUUUGGCUAAAAAGGGCAUAUAAAACUAAGGGCAUCUUUAUCGAAAGAGGCAUGGCCAUGGGGAAG
rnacentral:misc_RNA from 1 species